UCUUUGUUGACGGUCCCUUAAAUUUCUGAUGAAAUCCCUCACCGGAGCGAGAAGACGGACACACGGAAGAAGCGACACGGCGGUUAUAAAUCAUACUUUUAUUCGCGGAAAACGUGGAUAUUAUUAUAUUAACACCGGAAGGAGAUGAAAACAGUCUGAACUGAAGAACGAAGCCAACAAAUUGUGGUUUUCUGAUAGUAUAUUUCGAAUUUGACGUUACUCCCAGUUAAAGCUAACCGCUAAAGCUAAGUUAGCUUUGUCCUGCUAAAGCUAGUUAGCUUGUCCUGCUAAGCUAACCUGCUAGCAUCGCCCGGCAGCCGUUGGAAUCCGCAGACCUCCUCCAGCCCGACCGUCGCCUUCUUCACGGAUAUUAAAAGCAGAUAAACAAGUAAAAAAUGGCUCUUCUAUCAUCGUCACAUCGGGACUCAUCCACCAUGUUUUCUGUCACGAAAUUCUCCACCAGAAAGAAGUCCAACCACCACUCUCAGACGAGCGUUAACGCCGCGGAGCGCACCGGUGUCACAGACGUUAUUCCCUGGGUUCCUUCUCGCUGUGGAGGUCGGUAUGUGUGCCAGUCAGUGUAAAAAACACAAUGUUGCACUAAAAAAAACACUUUACUUGUAUUAUACAUGGAUAAUAACUGCUCCUGUUGACCCGGGCUGGAGCCGCUACAAGCCUCCCACAGUUUGACAGCUGUCACAUGAACUGCCGCUGAACUGCCGUCUGAGAUAUCUUGUUUUCUCAGCUUCGUCUCUGGACUGAAACACGAUUCAAAGCCGCUUCAUGACCGACUGCUUUAGUAAAGUACUGGCUGGUGUCCUGAAGCGCUUCACUGUUAGAGAAGUCGUCACCGUGUCCUGGUGGGACAGCGUCCUCCUUUUUAUUUUUAUUUCUGGAGAUGGACAGACGUCUAAAAAUAUCUGCAGCUGUUCUGUUUGUGUAAUCAUCCAGUUUACAUUUUCACUUUUAGUGCUGAUGAUUAAAUCACAGAAACAAGUGGCUGUUUUUAUCGGAAAGAAAAGAUUAAAAACAGUUUUUCUUAUGUAUGUAAAACAUUAUUUAACUCUUCAGACCCCCAGAAAUCCAUCAAAUGAAACGACGUUGUUUUCAUUAUAGAUUUAUAUUAUUAGAUAAACUAAUUAUUCAUCAUUUAUCGUCAAAAAAUAGUGAAAAAUGUCCUCAGAGUCCAGUCUUGUUUUGUUCGACACCGGCAGAAAGUCAGUUCACUGAGAUAUAUAUGAUAUAUAUUUACAUUUGACAGACUGUUAAAAAUGGAGUAACCGAUCAUCAGACUGGAUCCACUAAUGGCUGAAUUGAUUCUAAUGAUUUCAGCUCAACAUGAAACAUUAAAUUAAUUGUUUUAUUAUUAUUGAUCUAAUCAGCAGCUUCUUUCUGUGACUCGGAGGUACAGUUGAGGACUUCCUGAUGACUCGUUCGUCUUUACAGAAGAAGAACCGGAUGAAACCAGUCUGAGGACGAUUCAGGUGUUUCUCUAUAAGCUUCUAGUUUAACUUCAAAGCCAAAGAUUUAAAGCUCGUCUGUGAGUGACGGGAGGUCGAACUGAAGUGUUUGAAUCAGAUCGAUUUGCAUGAAUCGAUCUCAUUAGUGUAGAAUAAAGCUCCUCUACCUGCUCCUCCCACUAAUCACUGAUGAUCAAUAGUGUUCUUCCUCUAAUCAGUAUAUUAAUCAGAGGUAUUAACGUUCCUUCACACCUGAAGAAGAAGAAGUGUUAAUUAAUAAACUGCUGCGCGACAGCUUUAAACUUUUAAUUAUUAUUUUAAUUCAGAACUAAGACCACGAAUGUUGGCUGUAGUAUUGAUUUGAUAUAAUUUAAACAUUUAUGGGUUGAUUCUAAAGUGAAUGCAUCAUGUCGAAUGUGGAGGAAAAAAAACAUCUAAAGAAGUGAAUAAAACUAACAGUUACUAAUUUAAUCAAUUCAUUCAUAUAAAAGGGAGAUAAAUGCACUAUUAUAAAUUCUCUGCUCAGAUAUUCAGUAACAGAAUCUAUUUUUGGGGAACUUGUAUUAAUAACAUUCUAACGUUGUUCCUCAAAUCUGGUCUUUAUUAAAAAAAUAUUUUUUAUUGAACUGUUCGCAUGAACGUGUUUGCAUUUCCUGUAAAUCCUACAGAUUAAAAGACCUGUUAAAUGCUUUUAUUGUGAAGCUACAUCAGUAGGAAAUGUUCGUAUUGCAAACAUAUUGCCGUUGCGUGACCUCCUUCAGCUUCAACAGAUACUGACGUCUUAAUUUACAUGAAAAUCCUUUGAGAGACACUUUUAACCUUAAAGACGUGACCUGAAACUGAAAAAAAUACAAAUGUUUAUUUUCAUGAUCUCCUUUUAUCUAAAAAAACAAGAGGAACCGACAGUUGGCUUCAUUCAACAACUCAUCGUUACUUUAAGAGCUGAAGUGGAUGAUAUGUUUGAGGUUAUUAAUCCUGAGUCAGGAGUUAAAUAGUCUGUUAAUAUAUAUAAAGAAACAUGUAGACACGAGGAUCAUCUGACACAUGUUUGGUGUUUGUCAGCUGAUGUUGUCAUGAGGAAGGAAAAUGACACAUUUUAAAUGUUUUUAAAGGAGUCCAACAGGAGGCGCAGGUGGAAACAGGAGGAAUCUUUUGGUGUUUAUUUUAGUCGUAAGAAAAGCUUUUUAUUUUUCUAAUGCUUUGUGUGGUGGGUAACUAAUUCUGCGUCAUCGCUUCCUCACAACUCGAUACGAGCGAUUUGAAUAUUAAAUCAAUAUUUAAUAAUC